rnacentral:rRNA from 1 species
GAUGAACGCUGGCGGCGUGCCUAAUACAUGCAAGUCGAGCGAAUGGAUUAAGAGCUUGCUCUUAUGAAGUUAGCGGCGGACGGGUGAGUAACACGUGGGUAACCUGCCCAUAAGACUGGGAUAACUCCGGGAAACCGGGGCUAAUACCGGAUAACAUUUUGAACCGCAUGCUUAGAAAUUGAAAGGCGGCUUCGGCUGUCACUUAUGGAUGGACGCGAGUCGCAUUAGCUAGUUGGUGAGGUAACGGCUCACCAAGGCAACGAUGCGUAGCCGACCUGAGAGGGUGAUCGGCCACACUGGGACUGAGACACGGCCCAGACUCCUACGGGAGGCAGCAGUAGGGAAUCUUCCGCAAUGGACGAAAGUCUGACGGAGCAACGCCGCGUGAGUGAUGAAGGCUUUCGGGUCGUAAAACUCUGUUGUUAGGGAAGAACAAGUGCUAGUUGAAUAAGCUGGCACCUUGACGGUACCUAACCAGAAAGCCACGGCUAACUACGUGCCAGCCGCCGCAGUAA